rnacentral:rRNA from 1 species
GUUUGAUCAUGGCUCGGGACGAACGCUGGCGGCGUGCUUAACACAUGCAAGUCGAGCGAGGCCCGCCUUUCGGGGUGGUGCCCUAGCGGCGAACGGGUGAGUAACACGUGGGCAACCUGCCCUCAGCUCUGGGAUAACUCCAAGAAAUUGGUGCUAAUACCGGAUGUGACCGCUGACCGCAUGGUCUGGUGGUGGAAAGAUUCAUCGGCUGAGGAUGGGCCCGCGGCCUAUCAGCUUGUUGGUGGGGUGAUGGCCUACCAAGGCGACGACGGGUAGCCGGCCUGAGAGGGUGACCGGCCACACUGGGACUGAGACACGGCCCAGACUCCUACGGGAGGCAGCAGUGGGGAAUAUUGCGCAAUGGGCGGAAGCCUGACGCACGACGCCGCGUGGGGGAUGACGGCCUUCGGGUUGUAAACCUCUUUCAGUAGGGACGAAGCGGAAGUGACGGUACCUACAGAAGAAGCACCGGCCAACUACGUGCCAGCAGCCGCGGUAAUACGUAGGGUGCAAAGCGUUGUCCGGAAUUAUUGGGGCGUAAAGAUCUCGUAAGCGGUCUGUCGCGUCGGCUGUGAAAACCCGAGGCUCAACCUCGGGUCUGCAGUCGAUACGGGCAAACUAGAGUGUUGCAGGGGAGACUGGAAUUCCUGGUGUAGCGGUGAAAUGCGCAGAUAUCAGGAGGAACACCGGUGGCGAAGGCGGGUCUCUGGGCAACAACUGACGCUGAGGAGCGAAAGCGUGGGGAGCGAACAGGAUUAGAUACCCUGGUAGUCCACGCCUGAAACGUUGGGCGCUAGGUGUGGGGGCCAUUCCACGGUCUCCGUGCCGCAGCUACGCUUAAGCGCCCCGCCUGGGGAGUACGGCCGCAAGGCUAAAACUCCAAGGAAUUGACGGGGGCCCGCACAAGCGGCGGAGCAUGUUGCUUAAUUCGAUGCAACGCGAAGAACCUUACCUAGGCUUGACAUGCACGGAAAUCCCGCAGAGAUGUGGGGUCCUUUUAGGGUCGUGCACAGGUGGUGCAUGGUUGUCGUCAGCUUGUGUCGUGAGAUGUUGGGUUAAGUCCCGCAACGAGCGCAACCCUCGUUCUAUGUUGCCAGCACGUGAUGGUGGGGACUCAUAGGAGACUGCCGGGGUCAACUCGGAGGAAGGUGGGGAUGACGUCAAAUCAUCAUGCCCCUUAUGUCUAGGGCUGCAAACAUGCUACAAUGGCCGGUACAAAGGGCUGCGAUACCGUGAGGUGGAGCGAAUCCCAAAAAGCCGGUCUCAGUUCGGAUUGGGGUCUGCAACUCGACCCCAUGAAGUUGGAGUCGCUAGUAAUCGCAGAUCAGCAACGCUGCGGUGAAUACGUUCCCGGGCCUUGUACACACCGCCCGUCACGUCACGAAAGUCGGUAACGCCCGAAGCCGGUGGCCCAACCCCUGGUGGGAGGGAGCCGUCGAAGGUGGGAUCGGCGAUUGGGACGAAGUCGUAACAAGGUAACC